rnacentral:misc_RNA from 1 species
GGAAGUAAAGUCGUAACAAGGUUCCCGUAGGUGAACCUGCGGAAGGAUCAUUAUUGUAUAACCGAGGUGCGAGGGCUGUCGCUGACCCGAAAGGUCGUGCACGCCCGAGUGCCCUCGCACACAUCCAUCUCACCCCUAUGUGCACCACCGCGUGGGUCCCCCUUUGGCUUGUUCGGAGGGGGGCUUACGUUUUCACACAAACUUUGUAUGCAGUGUAGAAUGUAUUUUUUGUUUUUGCGAUCACGCAAUCAAUACAACUUUCAACAACGGAUCUCUUGGCUCUC